rnacentral:rRNA from 1 species
CUCUAUGACGGGUAUCCGGCCUGAGAGGGUGAUCGGACACACUGGAACUGAGACACGGUCCAGACUCCUACGGGAGGCAGCAGUAGGGAAUAUUGCUCAAUGGGGGAAACCCUGAAGCAGCAACGCCGCGUGGAGGAUGAAGGUUUUAGGAUUGUAAACUCCUUUUGUAAGAGAAGAUUAUGACGGUAUCUUACGAAUAAGCACCGGCUAACUCCGUGCCAGCAGCCGCGGUAAUACGGAGGGUGCAAGCGUUACUCGGAAUCACUGGGCGUAAAGAGCGCGUAGGCGGGAUAGUAAGUCAGAUGUGAAAUCCUGUGGCUUAACUACAGAACUGCAUUUGAAACUACUAUUCUAGAGUGUGGGAGAGGUAGGUGGAAU